GAUGAACGCUGGCGGCGUGCCUAAUACAUGCAAGUAGAACGCUGAAGGAGGAGCUUGCUCUUCUGGAUGAGUUGCGAACGGGUGAGUAACGCGUAGGUAACCUGCCUGGUAGCGGGGGAUAACUAUUGGAAACGAUAGCUAAUACCGCAUGACAACAGUUAUUGCAUGAUAACUGUUUAAAAGGGGCAACUGCUCCACUACCAGAUGGACCUGCGUUGUAUUAGCUAGUUGGUGAGGUAACGGCUCACCAAGGCGACGAUACAUAGCCGAACUGAGAGGGGGAUCGGCCACACUGGGACUGGGACACGGCCCAGACUCCUACGGGAGGCAGCAGUAGGGAAUCUUCGGCAAUGGACGGAAGUCUGAACGAGCAACGCCGCGUGAGUGAAGAAGGUUUUCGGAUCGUAAAGCUCUGUUGUAAGAGAAGAACGAGUGUGAGAGUGGAAAGUUCACACUGUGACGGUAUCUUACCAGAAAGGGACGGCUAACUACGUG
rnacentral:rRNA from 1 species